rnacentral:rRNA from 1 species
UACCACCCUGAACGCGCCCAAUCUCGUCUGAUCUCGGAAACUAAGCAGGGUCGGGCCUGGUUAGUACUUGGAUGGGAGACCGCCAGGGAAAAAAAGGAU